UGGGGAAUAUUGCACAAUGGGCGAAAGCCUGAUGCAGCGACGCCGCGUGCGGGAUGAAGGCCUUCGGGUUGUAAACCGCUUUUGAUUGGGGAGCAAGCGAGAGUGAGUGUACCUUUCGAAUAAGCACCGGCUAACUACGUGCCAGCAGCCGCGGUAAUACGUAGGGUGCAAGCGUUAUCCGGAAUUAUUGGGCGUAAAGAGCUCGUAGGCGGUUUGUCGCGUCUGGUGUGAAAGUCCAUCGCUUAACGGUGGAUCUGCGCCGGGUACGGGCAGGCUAGAGUGCGACAGGGGAGACUGGAAUUCCCGGUGUAACGGUGGAAUGUGUAGAUAUCGGGAAGAACACCAAUGGCGAAGGCAGGUCUCUGGGUCGUCACUGACGCUGAGGAGCGAAAGCGUGGGGAGCGAACAGGAUUAGAUACCCUGGUAGUCCACGCCGUAAACGGUGGAUGCUGGAUGUGGGGCCCCAUUCCACGGGUUCCGUGUCGGAGCUAACGCGUUAAGCAUCCCGCCUGGGGAGUACGGCCGCAAGGCUAAAAC
rnacentral:rRNA from 1 species